GCUGGCGGCAGGCCUAACACAUGCAAGUCGAGCGGAUGACGGGAGCUUGCUCCUUGAUUCAGCGGCGGACGGGUGAGUAAUGCCUAGGAAUCUGCCUGGUAGUGGGGGACAACGUUUCGAAAGGAACGCUAAUACCGCAUACGUCCUACGGGAGAAAGCAGGGGACCUUCGGGCCUUGCGCUAUCAGAUGAGCCUAGGUCGGAUUAGCUAGUUGGUGAGGUAAUGGCUCACCAAGGCGACGAUCCGUAACUGGUCUGAGAGGAUGAUCAGUCACACUGGAACUGAGACACGGUCCAGACUCCUACGGGAGGCAGCAGUGGGGAAUAUUGGACAAUGGGCGAAAGCCUGAUCCAGCCAUGCCGCGUGUGUGAAGAAGGUCGUUCGGAUUGUAAGGCACUUGAAGUUGGGAGGAGGGGCAGUAAGUU
rnacentral:rRNA from 1 species